rnacentral:ncRNA from 1 species
GCUCUGCACUUACCACUUGGCGGUGCAGGCAGAUCAUACAGAGUGGUCAGCUUGGUUGUCCUGCUUCGGCAAAUACACUUAGGGGUCUGGUAGAACGUAGAGUAGCAGAAAGCGAAAUACGGAGCCAGU